rnacentral:lncRNA from 10 species
GUGAGGGGCGGGAAGAGCGCAGCUGCGAGCAGGCGGGCGGAGGGUAGCGGGAAGCCCGGGCGGAGGGGGCGGCGUGAGAGCCUCGGGGCGGGGGCGGGGCCUGGCGCGUCCGCCGAGCGCGGGGGUUUGUUUAUUUUCCCGGUUGGUAGCGGCGCUGGCGCUGGUUAGAGGUUCGCCGGUGACGUGAGCGCCCGAGUUGGGGGAGAGGACCAGAACCACCUGCUGGAGAAAGGGAGCUACGGGGGCCGGGCAGGGUCCAAACGCCUCACGUGGGCGGCGGCGCCACGGUCUUCGGGGUCACAGGGAAGAGAAGGGCUCUCCUCAAGCGGGUGGAAGGAGGGAGGCCUCCCGAGGGAAUGAGACUCCAGGCCACUCCCCCGCAGCAAGGCAGGAUCACCUGCGUCGCGGAGAGCAGUUAGAGGUCCCUGGAGUGGAAAAGGGCAGUGGGACCUGGUAGCUUGGGUUCCCUGCAACUUGGGGUUCGACCUCCAGGCAAUGAAGUAGGGAUGGUCCUGCAAGUCAAGAUUCCAGUAGCAAGAGUGCAUCAGAUCUCUGUAAGGAAAAUAACUAACAUUGCUCAGUUCCCUGUAGAGUUGCAGGGCGCUUUGACGUUAUCUCCCUUGGUUCUCCAUCAGGUCGUAGUGGACUAAUUUUACAGGCGAAGUUAAGUGACUUACCCAAAACCUCACAGCUAAUAAACGGCAGAGCCGGCACCCAGCUGUACUGGCUUCCAGCGCAUCCCAUUAUCUCCAUAAAUCCCCCUGAUUCAACUAAUAUUAGACGCCCCACAGGUAAGAUGCUUCAGAGUUAGAGGGGAGUUGAAGAUACCUUUGCCUUCAAAGAAGUAAGGAAUGAAACAAAGAUAAAACAGACAAUAAAAGACAAACCAUGAUAGGUGCCACGUGAAAAGUGGCAGAGUACUGCCGGGAAUCAAAGAACCGUGUAUAUCUGUCUUGGGGAUAAGGAAAGAAACGCAGCAUGAAGGAGUAGGCAUUUGGGAUUGACCUUGAAGGAGACAGGGAGAGUUUUACAGCAAGAAGGGAUAGCAUGAGAAUAUAUAUGAAGGCGAAUCAGUGAAAGUUGUGUUGGGGAAAGAGCAAAGACUCCAGGUAUGUUGAGAGGUAGAAAAGACAAAGGAGUAUGGGGCCUAAGAUACCAAAUGGAUGAAUUUAUAUUUAAUUCAGUAUUUUGAGUUUUUAUGGUUCAGAAGUUUGGGGGAAGAAAAGGAAGGUUUUUUUUUUCUUUAUGCUAGUGAUUUAUCUGUGAAGGGAAGCAGAAAUCAGAGGUGGAAAAACUGACAGAUCUACUGUAGGCCAGGUAAAAGGUAAUGAUGAGUCUGACCUAAAGGGACAGCCAGGGGAAUUUAAAGAGCAUAGUUGAGAGAUGAUGUGCAUGCAGAAUCUAUAGAAUUUGCUAACUGAUUGAUUAAUUGUGGGUAGGAAGAGAGAAAUCAAAGAAAGUGGAGGUUUUGAGUUUCUAGAUAAUUGCAAGAGAGAAAAGAGACAAUUACAAAGGAAAGGAGAAGGAGCUACUUCUUGAGAGAAGAUCAGUUUAGAUUUAGACAUUUUAAGAAUUCAAAGGGUUGUCAAGACAGCCAGACGGACAUGGACACUAAUAAGUUAGAAAUAAAGGUUUUGUAAUAUGGGAAAGAGGACUGAGCUAGAAAAUAGACUCAUAGAUAAUCAGCCUAGGAGUGAUAUUGCUGUGAGAUAAAAGAAGAAAACAAAGUCAGAAUCUUGGAAAACACCCUCUUCAGAGUCUCGCUGCUCAAAACGUGGUCAGUGGCCCAGCAGCACUGACAUGAGGACCUUAGUUGGAAACUCAGAAUCUCAGGCUCCACCCCAGACCUGCUGAACCAGCAUCUUCAACUUAACAAGAACCCGAAGAGAUUUGUGCCACAUCAAAAAGUUUGAGAAGCUCUGAUCUAGCUGGACCCUGGACACGGUGACUCUGAUUCAAUUAUGCAGAUGACCACAAGCCUCUGGGGUUGGCAGAGCCACAAGAAAGAAGGUGCCUGGAUGAAGGAGAGCUACCCACUGACCUGGACACCCAAUUAUUCAUCUGUCUUAGAGCUAUUGGAAUCCUGGAUCAUUGUGGGAAAUGAAAAGUCUGGAUGCCCAUUUUAAUUCUUCUGAAAGCAUGCCUCCUUCUGGCUUCAGGACUCCAUCUCCAGCCUUAUGAUCUAAAAAUAAUCCCCAAACCAAAAAAUUAGAUAUUAUUUCCUCAAAAUUAGGUGUUUUAAUCAAAACAUCUUAACAUAAAUACAUUAUUAUCACCCAAUAUGCAUAAUGUUGUUCAACUUUUUUGUUAAAUGACUUAUUUUAGAUGAACAGAUGUGUGAAUAUGAAUAUUUUUAUUUCACUUACAGGCAUCUUGCAUGUGAAUAACUCACAACUUUAAUUCAUGGAACAAAUUGAGAAAUAGUCUUUUGGGGGUUUGGUACUCCCUGGAAACAUAAGAGUGCUUUGGGCACCUCUGGUGCCUUUCCAUGCCUGCCUUCUCUGCUGUUCUUGCUACUAGUGAAUUCUAAAUCAUGGCCAAGUGAUGCCAGCACUGGAUAAUAUUGGCUCUGCCCCAUAUCUCGAGGGAAAACUCUGGGACUUGGCAUUAUAUGUGUGGGAAUCUGGCCUUGGUUGGCACUCCCAGCAUGAUAGCAGGGUUCUGCUGUCUGAAUGUACUCUGGGGUGUGCGCCACAAUUUCUGUCAUCGAAAUGGAGAUGAGAGAAUAUGCCCUUGGUGGGGACACCCCACUGGAAUUAGAGUGAAGAGAUCAAAGCUAGAGGUUCUUAAAUCAAAGAAUGUCUAAUAGCAAAGACAAAAACUUGCUUAAGAGAAAUGCAUACAGGUACUAGACCUAAUAUGAUGAAAAAUGCUAACUUCAACAUAUUGAUGCAUGCUUAGUAUACUUUUAGUCCUGCAAAGACAAAAGUUUUUUGUUUGUUUUUUUUUGAGACGGAGUCUCGCUCUGUCGCCCAGGUUGGAGUGCAGUGGUGUGAUCUCGGCUUACUGCAAGCUCUGCCUCCUGGGUUCACACCAUUCUCCUGCCUCAGCCUCCGGAGUAGCUGGGACUACAGGCGCCCGCCACCACGCCCGGCUAAUUUUUUGUAUUUUUAGUAGAGAUGGGGUUUCACCGUGUUAGCCAGGAUGGUCUCGAUCUCCUGACCUCAGGUGAUCCGCCUGCCUUGGCCUCCCAAAGUGCUGGGAUUACAGGCAUGAGCCACCGCACCUGGCCCAGUCCUGCCAAGACAAAGUUUUAAAACACAGGUUGCACAUUGGCAGCUCUCAAGCCAAAUCUGGCCCAUAGACAUGGUUUGCUUGGCCUAUAAUGUUAGUAAUACUUGACCCAAGAUUUAAAAUUUGAAAAGUUUCAUAUAAAAAUAUAGAUUUACAGCUUUUCUAGAAAAACUAUAAGAGUUAACAGUUUCUGAAUUGCAACAGCAGCUGGAACACCGUUGCCACUGACCAUUUAGAUGACUGCUGCAGUCCCCACGGCUCACUCUGGUUCAGGUAGGGGUUCUAGUUUGUAACCCCUGGUUUAAAACAUAACUGACUCUCUAGUUUUUAAAAUUCUCUCAAAAUCAAAUAACCUGAACUAGCAAAUGAUCUAGAUCCUCGUACAUGGAACUCAUACUAAGUUGACCACAGACAGUGGCUCCCAAACUCUGCAGUACAUCAGAGUCACUGGGAAGCUUUAAAAAAUCCUGCUCCCUAGCUGGGUGCAGUGGUUUAUGCCUGUAGCCCCAGCUACUUGAGAGGCUGAGGUGGGAGGAUUGCUCAAGCCCAGGAGUUUGAGGCUGCAGUGAGCCAUGAAUGUACCACUACACUCCAGCCUGGGCAACAGAGCAAGACCCCAACUCUAAAAAAAAAUCCUGCUCCCCAGGUGACAGUAUCUGGGGGAAGGAGUAAGGCAUCUUAUUUUCAAAAGAUCAUAAGAAAAGAGGCUCAUUGCUGAGGCUCACUCCGGAGCCCACUUGGAUUCUUCACAAGAAAGUUUCCCUCUUCCAGAAUUUUAUAAUUGAGGGAACCGACUAGGGAAAGAUUAAUUUGCCCAAGGUCAAACAACUAGUAAAAGAAGUAAGGAUUCCAACCCAGAUCUUUUGACUCUAUUAUCCUUACAUAUAGUUUUAUAGUGAUUUAAAUUGAUACAAGGAUAGGUUUAAAUACAAGUAGAAUGCAGGUUCAUAUAAAACUGAUUUUAUCCUCAUGUUAGAAAACAUAUACACUGUAACAGAGGGAUGACCAUCAAGUGACCAAGAUAUUUUAGUCAAAAGAUGAAUUUUUCUGCAAUUGGAGAAUGCCAAAAAUAUUCAAAGAAAAUAUAAGUCUUGUAGGCAGUCUUCUAUCAAAACCCACUGAACCGCAUGAGCCACCGCACCUAGCCAAUUCUACUUCUAUUACAUUUUCAGCAUAUAUCACUUCAUUGCUCCUCCAUAUUAUUUUUCACUGGUCUUCUUACAUCUUGUGUGCCCAUAUUUAAGUAGUUUUCUUUCCAGGUAAAAAAUACAUGUGUGCCUAAAAGAUUUUAAAGUCAACUUUUCAUAAACCAUACCUAAAUUAUCAAAGUUAUUAGAAUUAUUAGAAAGUAUUAGCUAAUUCUUUUAUAAAAUGUAGACUUUAUUAUUUUAGAAAUAUUGAUUCCUCUCUAUUCAGCUAUCUUAAAGAGGGUAUAUUUUAAUCAUCGCAAUAUAUUACCUUCAUAGUAUUUUUUACUUUUGCAAAGUAUAUUUUGUCAUGUUAUUUCAUUUAGGAAUGCACUAAAUCUACAUAUCUACAUAUGAUUAUACAAGGAAACAUCUUUGUCUCAAAAAUGGGUUCUAUUACAUUUUUUAAUUUCCAGGGGUCAUGAUAUAUAAAAAGACCUGAUUUAUCUUAAAAAUACAUACUUUUAUUCUUACCUACCAUACAUCUUUUUUUGUGAUAAUCAGAAGGCUUAAUUUACUAUAAAAUAGGAAAACAACAGCUAUGUUAGAUUAUAUAGUUAAUUUAGGGAUUAAAUGAGUUAAGGUCUACAAGCCCCUGGCACAUGGCAGACAAUCAAUAAUUGAUCAUUUCCUUUGCAUCUAUAAAUUUGUUCAUUCACUUCUCAUGUGGUUCUACCUUAGACAACGAUUUUUGUUUACAGAGACAAAUAGAAGUAUCUAAUCCUAAAUAACCCAAUCAAUUGGUAAAGGCUACACUACAAAGCUGGCAUGACUUCACCAAAUGCUAGAGAAACAGUGUUAAGAGUGACAACACUAAAAGUCUUACACUCUGAUGAUGCUAGUUGCCGCCGAAUUGCUUCCCCUACCAGUUCCUUAAGUUUCUUCUUAUGAUCCCGGCUGGUUUUCUUAUAGAAAUAAAGAUCUUUUUCCAACUGCUGGAUUUUAUCUUCAUAUGUUUUGAAAGUUUCCAUAAUGCCUUCUCCAUCUUGUUCUAUACAACAAAAAUUUGCAUUUAAAAUCAGUUUUAAAUAAAUGAUGCAAAAUUAUGUUUUUGUUUGUUUCUUUGUCUUUUUGAAACGGAGUCUUGCACUGUCGCCCAGGCUAGAGUGCAGUGGCGUGAUAUGCUCGGCUCACUGUAAGCUCCGCCACCCAGGUUCACACCAUUCUCCUGCCUCCGCCUCCCAAGUAGCUGGGACUACAGGUGCCCAGCACCACGCCCGGCUAAUUUUUUUGUAUUUUUAGUAGAGACGAGGUUUCAUCAUGUUAGCCAGGAUGGUCUCGAUCUCCUGACCUCGUGAACUGCC